rnacentral:rRNA from 1 species
GACGAACGCUGGCGGCGUGCCUAAUGCAUGCAAGUCGAGCGACGCACAGGUGCGGGUAACCAAUCCUGUGACGGAGCGGCGAACGGGUGAGUAACACGUGAGUAACCUGCCCCGAAGACCGGGAUAGCCCAGGGAAACUUGGAUUAAUACCGGACACCCUCUUUUGAUCGCAUGUUCUUUUGAGGAAAUGCUUUUGCGCUUCGGGAUGGACUCGCGGCCUAUCAGCUUGUUGGUGAGGUAACGGCCCACCAAGGCAACGACGGGUAGCUGGUCUGAGAGGACGAUCAGCCACACUGGGACUGAGACACGGCCCAGACUCCUACGGGUGGCAG